rnacentral:rRNA from 1 species
AACGUAGGUGGCAAGCGUUGUCCGGAAUUACUGGGUGUAAAGGGAGCGCAGGCGGGAUGGCAAGUUGGACGUGAAAUCUAUGGGCUCAACCCAUAGCGUGCGUUCAAAACUGCUGUUCUUGAGUGAUGGAGAGGCAGGCGGAAUUCCCGGUGUAGCGGUGGAACGCGUAGAUAUCGGGAGGAACACCAGUGGCGAAGGCGGCCUGCUGGACAUUAACUGACGCUGAGGCUCGAAAGCAUGGGUAGCAAACAGGAUUAGAUACCCUGGUAGUCCAUGCCGUAAACGAUGAUUACUAGGUGUGGGGGGAUAAACCCCCUCCGUGCCGCAGCUAACGCAAUAAGUAAUCCACCUGGGGAGUACGGCCGCAAGGCUGAA